GUAAGUUCUGCUUGGAGCCAAUAAGUGAAAAAAAGUAACAGGACCAAAGUUUUUUUGUGUGUGUGGCUUCUUUAUAUCUGCUCUUAGUUGAGUUUUCUUGACCAUGUGUCAUGGUUUUGUAACUUCGCUAUUGGUAUUCCACAUCAUAACAUCAUGGACAAAAGAGAAGAACUACGUAUCCCAGAGGACCUCACGGUCAGAGAAGGAAGACACAUCACGGAAGAUACGUCAUCUGGUUGCGCGCGGUGCUUCUUCACUUUCGCUUGCUGCCGGGAGAGGAGUGGGUGUGCUUUCCAAGCCGGGCGCCUUCAUCAAUGGAAGGAGCCUCCUCCAAGACCAGAGAAUGAUGACUGGCAAGGAAUAUGGAAAGGUUUAGGAAGAAUCUUAGAACCGUGGGGACCCGCCAUGCCAUGGGAUUUCACCCCUGAACAUCUGUGGGAUCCCGAGAAACUGAGCCAGCAUUUGAGUCAGGGGCAGUGCGGCUUAGAUAGAUCAAAGGAGGCACGGCUCAUCUGGGGCUUGGCUUGUGCCUACCGCGCCCUGUAUAGUACUGUUCUGGAGAGAGACAGUUUCCGAGCGGAGGUGCAAGCCGAAGGGGGAAAUCUCCAAGUCAGACCUGAUCAGUCACAACAGACACCAGUAACAGUGUCAGUAGCCCCUGUAGAAGGCAAGAAAUGGAAGCGGGUGUCCUCACGUCUAGAGCGAAAAAAGGAAGAAGAAGAAGAAGGAGAGGAAGUGGAAGAGGAGGUGGUAGAGGAAGAUCCAGGUGAGGGGACUUCCUCAGAACCAAGAAAAGCAAAAGCAAAAACUAAGAGGCACGAAGAGGACAGCGAUGAAGAGGAGAUCUCUAUUACCGUUCGUCGACCUCUCAAGAUGUCUGAGAUCCUAAGCUCAAGAAAGGAAUUUGAACGACGCCCGAAUGAAACUGUUGUCACCUGGUUGCUCCGUUGUUGGGAUAGUGGGGCCAGUAGCUUGUCUCUAGAUGGUAAUGAAGCACGCCAAUUAGGAGACAUUGCCGGAGACAAAUCCAUCGACAGAGCAAUUAGCAGAUGUUUGGAUGAAGCUGCAACCCUCUGGGACCGAAUACUAAUAGCUGUGAAGGAAAGGUAUCCCUACAAAGAACUUCUGCAGCCUGCAAAGAAAACGUGGAAUACAAUUGAGAGAGGUAUCCAGUAUUUGAGGGAAAUAGCCCUGGUGGAAAUGCUAUAUGAGUCUAAUUUUGUUCCUAAUGAUCCACGCCAAAACCAUGAUCCGGAGAGAGUGAGGACAACACCUGAAAUAUGGCAAAAACUUACGAGAGCAGCACCAGACAGAUACGCCCCCACACUAUUAGCCACAUUCCACAGAUACGAGGACCAACAGAGAAGACCCCUAGUCUUCGAAUUGAUUCUUACACUCCAAAACUAUGAGCAGCAUCUACCCCCAACCCACGUUUCCAUUUCAGUCGUCACAGAGUUAGCGAACAGACUGGGUGAUGUAGAAGAGCAGAUGUCCCUAUUGAUUAAUCGUGAUGAACCUGUAGAACCCGUAAUAGUAUCGGAAACGUUUGACGACGAUCAAGAUAAGCAAAGGGGCCUAAUGAAAGAGCUUAUCAAACUAAUGAAAAUCCAAUUAAUUAAAGAAGAUGGAUCCCCCUCCUCACCUGUAACAUCAAAAAUUUCAGCUACCGAAGGCAAACGCUUUCCUGCUCGAGUGAGAAACAACAACAGGACGGCUUCGCGUGUUGCCUUGUGGCGUUAUCUCCGUGACCAUGGAGAAGAUAUGAGGAAGUGGCACGAUCAAGAUACUCCCGUACUGCGAGCACGAGUGAGAGAAUUACAGAACAGACCAACCACCAGUGUAGUUGCUCCAGUUACCACAGGUAAUGAAUAGAGGGGCCCUGCCCUCAGUCAGGGGAGGGAGAGGGAUAACAGAGUUUAUUGGACUGUGUGGAUCCGAUGGCCUGGCACAUCAGAACCACAGAAAUAUAAGGCAUUGGUGGAUACCGGUGCACAGUGCACUCUAAUGCCCUCGAAUCAUGAAGGGACAGAAUCAGUCCAUAUUUCUGGAGUGACUGGGGGUUCUCAAGAACUGACUGUGUUGGAGGCCAAAAUAAGCCUCACUGGUAAGGACUGGCAAAAGCAUCCUAUUGUGACUGGCCCAGGGGCUCCAUGCAUACUGGGUAUUGAUUACCUCAGAAGGGGGCAUUUCAAGGAUCCUAAGGGGUAUCGAUGGGCCUUUGGAAUAGCUGCUGUAGAUACAGACAACAUUAAGCAGCUAUCUGUUUUGCCUGGCCUGUCAGAAGAUCCGUCUGCUGUGGGGUUGCUGCAAGUAAAAGAGCAGCAGGUACCAAUUGCCACAAAAGCAGUGCAUAGACGGCAGUAUCGAACCAACAGGGAUUCCUUGCUCCCUAUUCAUAAGUUGAUUCGUCAACUAGAAAGUCAAGGAGUGAUCAGCAGAACCCAUUCACCUUUUAACAGCCCCAUAUGGCCAGUGCGUAAAGCCAGUGGAGAAUGGAGGCUGACGGUAGACUACCGUGGCCUGAAUGAAGUCACACCCCCGCUGAGUGCUGCUGUGCCGGACAUGCUAGAACUCCAAUAUGAAUUGGAGUCAAAAGCAGCCAAGUGGUAUGCCACCAUUGACAUCGCUAAUGCC
ensembl:lncRNA